rnacentral:lncRNA from 1 species
UAAAUUUAGAAAUUUUGAAUAGCAACAAGGGAUAAAUAAGCAAAAAAAAUUAUAGAUUGGAGAGAAAGGUAGUAUGUUAUCCGUUUUGUUUAUUUUUUUAAAAAAAUAAACUUAACUGAAAAUGUGAAUAAAUUAGGAUUCAAAUUUAGGAUAUCAGAUACCAACCACCAAACGUUUUGCCACUUGCAUUAGAAUAGGUCGGUCUCCUAGCGAUAAGUUGAUUUGUGUAAUAGAUGGUUAAAAUUUGGUUGAAGCAAUUAGGUCACACAGUGAACCACUUUUAUAUAAAUGGGGCACUUAUAUAAAAGUGUUACAAAAAUAUGUUCCUAUAAUCUAAUUUUAUUAUAGUGACAUAUACUUGGAUGCAUAAGGGUCUGGAUUUGGUC